GAUCCAUUAUCAAAGUUGGGGGCCCAGGCUUGGCAGAGCCCAACAGAGACCAUGACUCCAAGUGGGGUGGCUGACCUGGAGCUUGAUCCUGGGGAACAUGUCAGAAGUCAGAGCCAGGCCUCAGAGCCAGAAAAUCCUUUGUUUAAGACACACAACUGCAUUUCCUGAGCCAAUUGUCUUUUCCCCAAGGAAACCUCAGAUCUCUGGUUUGGAGUUCUCACUGUGAUCUCUGACGUACCACAUGAAGCACAUCACAGAACAUCAAAGCUGGAGAAUGCUACUGGAUUCUCUCUUCUUGGCUGAGGAUGGUGGCCAUAUUCCAGUUGUCCUGGGGUUACAAAACACAGAGAUGGACAAUGCAGAGAAAAGUCCCUUGGCCUCCACAGAUGUCUGGAACACAUUUAUUUGUCAAUAGCCUACUUGUAGUGUCUGUCUCCCGGCAAGAUAAAGUCUCCUGGAAUACUGACCAUUGAAAGCCAGGGAAUCAAGCAGCAUAAGCUCCCCAAAGAAGACGCAGCUCUCUGGUACCUGUUCUAAGUCACUUCAUACAACUUUGCUCUCUGUUGGUCCUCCGUUCGGGUGUGCCCUGUUGGAAAGGAUAAACACACAUGUGACAUAUUUAAAGUUUGAUGAAAGGACUGAAGAAUUCCAGCUGAUUUUUAUCCAACUUUAACACUUAGUUUUCAAGAAGCAAUUGUGGCUUCACGAAUUGGUAAGAUUAAAAAGAAAUAUUUUAUCCUAUAUCCUUCUCCUUAGAAGACCCCACCUCACUGCCCACGCUGUGAACUGGGAAAAUAAUAAACUGUAAAAAAAAGUUUUAGAGAGGGUGG